AGGUUAAGCUGUAAAGAGCACAAGGUGGAUGCCUUGGCACUAAGAGCCGAUGAAAGACGUGAUAAGCUGCGAAAAGCUGCGGUGAGGAGCAAAUAUCCUUUGACCCGCAGAUGUCUGAAUGGGGAAACCCGGCGGAGCAAACCUCCGUCACCGUAUUCUGAAUCCAUAGGGAUACGGAGGGAACCCGGUGAACUGAAACAUCUAAGUAGCCGGAGGAAGAGAAAGAAAAUAUAUCGAUUCUGUGAGUAGCGGCGAGCGAAAACGGAAGAGCCCAAACCAGCGUGCGUGCAUGCUGGGGUUCGGACUGCAUACGUUACAGAUGCGGUUAGCAGAACGGUCCUGGAAAGACCGGCCAGAGAGGGUGAAAGCCCCGUAAGCGAAAACCAAGUCUGGACAGCAGGAUCCAGAGUACCACGAGACACGAGAAACCUUGUGGGAAUAAGCGGGGACCACCCCGUAAGGCUAAAUACUCCUUAGUGACCGAUAGCGCAUAGUACUGUGAAGGAAAGGUGAAAAGGACCCCGGGAGGGGAGUGAAAGAGAACCUGAAACCUUGUGUUUACAAGCUGUGG
rnacentral:rRNA from 1 species